UGCUAGUCUGAUGGUAGUGGGUUCCCAGAACUUAAUAACCUUAGUGUCACCAACGUUGGUAUACAACCUCCCACUGCUAAAUUUGACUGGCUUUUA
ensembl:misc_RNA Y_RNA Y RNA